AGUUCACACUGUGGCGGUAUCUUACCAGAAAGGGACGGCUAACUACGUGCCAGCAGCCGCGGUAAUACGUAGGUCCCGAGCGUUGUCCGGAUUUAUUGGGCGUAAAGCGAGCGCAGGCGGUUAGAUAAGUCUGAAGAUAAAGGCUGUGGCUUAACCAUAGUACGCUUUGGAAACUGUUUAACUUGAGUGCAGAAGGGGAGAGUGGAAUUCCAUGUGUAGCGGUGAAAUGCGUAGAUAUAUGGAGGAACACCGGUGGCGAAAGCGGCUCUCUGGUCUGUAACUGACGCUGAGGCUCGAAAGCGUGGGGAGCGAACAGG
rnacentral:rRNA from 1 species